rnacentral:lncRNA from 1 species
CUGAAUUUUACACCCCCUUAACACAGAAUUGUCAAUAUUUUGAGUUAGAGCUGGUAGAAGUUUCUAUAAUUUUGAUAUUAUUUGUCUCACUGGUAGUACACUACACUGUAAAAAUCUUUUUAAGAAAGAGCAGGUGCGAUUUUUUUUAAUUUGAAUUUAUUGUCUAAAAGAAAUGCACUACGAAAUAACUGUGUUCUCGGGCCUAAGAGAUGGAUUCCUGAAAUCUAGAUUCUGUACUUUGGCAACUUUCCUGAAUGAUUUGCUGGUUUCAGUU